CAUGGACACGAUUUUCCCCUUUUUUCGUGCCAGUCAGAACGACUUUCAAUCUAAUGUAUUUCAAUAGGAAGUAUUUUUCGUGCCUGCACCACGUUUUUUUGUCCUAUUAUUUUUUUUCGUGUUUAUAAGCACGAAUUUAAUCUAAUGUAUUGCAAUAGUAUAUACCAGGGAUUGUUUUACUUUAUUUGUCAUUAAUUGAUUACACUUUAAGCGCUACUUUACUCAACAUUUAAUCAGGAGAUGUUUAUCCUAUAAUAUUGAUUUUUCGAUCGGUUUCGUGUGUCAAAUACAAGAGUAAAUACUACAGUACCCAUGAGCCUUAUCGACAUCUACUAUGGUGAAGGCACCAGCUAAAACUACAUGUGGGCCCGCUGCAGAUCACAAUAUUUUCUCAACACAAUGAACACUAACGUGUGCUUGAUAAUUCAACAAUACGAUGUUAUGGCCAUCAAUUUUGAUUGUUUCUACUUUGAUUGUAAAAAAAAAAUAAGUCAGUUUCGGACGCCUGCAUUUCCCAGAAUCCUCUCUGCCUCCGUUGCUAUGGAAUCUGAGCCAGUCCUCUUUGCUAUUGGGUGAUUUCUUCUUCGGUACUCGUAAUUGACAGGGAUUCUCUCAUACGCGAAAAUCAUUGUCCAGGUAAGUGAUGCUUUCGUUUAAAGUUCACUAUUUGUUUAAAUGUUAUAAUUCACACCUUUCUUUUGGCAUUACGCUGACAUUGCCAUACCCGUACGAAAAUUAACCAUGUUUUUGUGGUAAAAGUGUAGUAACUACGGUUUGUGUAUCGAUUAUUUGCAAAAUGGUUUUACUAAACCAAACAUGGUUUAACUUUUUUUUUUUCAAAUUCAUGGUUCUUUCUUAACUUGCAACCUAUCUCUAUAUACUGCAUCUGUUGUACCUGUCUGUCCAGCUGUGUGUUUGUCUUUCUGUCUUUGUCUGCUUUGCAAUGGCCACCAGAUAUACCCCUCACAAACAGGAUCCCCACUACCAAGAGGGGAGGCUCAUGGCUCUUGAGCUGAACCAUGACCACAUUCUAGCUGAAGCCAAGAGAGCAGCUGUGGAGACGAAACGUUUAUGCCCUAGAAGAGACCCUUCACAGACCUCUAAAAGGAUCUUUGUUGGCUGGGGCAUGCCGAGUCCUUGGGAGGCAAGGAGGGGUGACGCCAAGCCUCAGCUACAGGUCAGUUUUACAGGUUGAGUGCUUCCUGUCAUCCAGUGUGGAGUUUCCACUUAACUGUACCCUCAGCAAAACUAAAUCCUCAUGAGGAAUUUGGUGCAGAGAGUGGUUCUGUGGGGACCGUGAUGUAUUACGUCACAAAAAACAGCCACUCCCCAAUAGGGAAUGUGUAAUUAAUAGGUUUUUUGUAGCCAUCCGUCCAACCAAAUGCAUCAUUAAAGGGGAAGAUGGAUAUUGCACUCAACACAAGUCGGCAAGAUGACAUACCACUGUUGUAAACGCACAAACGUAAUAAUGCUUUCAGGCAAACCAAUCAUUUUAAUUACCAUCAAUGGGCGUUUUGACUUGCCUCAGCCACUGUAUGUCUGUUAAACAUGCAAACAGCAAAGGACCCCAGACCUGAAAGACCUUCUGAGGAGUGGAUAUUGGCCAGCUUCAAUAAACAACACCACACUUUACACACUGGACCUCCUGAUCUCCUUUCAAGAACUCAAGGUCAUCUCUCCAAGAUUUUCCAGACAAGCCUUCGCAAAGCUGCUGGAGCAUCGCACGAAGUGUGGAGGAAGAUCUGGAUGUAUCAACGGCGAUGCACUGCAACGCAGCUUCUUGGAGUUUUCAUACGCUUAAUUUGAAUCAGACCAGCUCUGCUGUGGUGCUCCUUUCACCUGCCCAGCCUGAACGCUAGAAUUGUUGGCUGCUUCAGCAGAUCGAAACAGAAAGCUAUAUCGCUUUUGCCGAAACAGAAGGUGGUCUUUAUUCCAGUAUUUUUAUUGGUUUAUUUAUUUACUUUAAUUGAUGGAUUUCCUAUUUUUCUUUCUUAGCUCUGGUGUUCCUGUUUUUUGUUUUCUUUUUUGAGGGGCCUUUUGUGGCUGAAGACAGUGCGGUGUCUAGAUUUGUCAACACCAUCCAAAAAGCACUGAAAAUUGACAAAAUAGUUGUUACACAAAAAAAUCUUGUUCGGAGUUGAUUUCUACUUUUGCCUACCAAGUACUCCUAAAUCAAAUUAGGAAUAAAUGCCAUAUACUGUAUUGUAUGACACCAUCGCUUUAAUUUGAUUUGUUGUGUUUGUUGUGUGUUUCAUAGACUGUGGCUUGCAAAUAUUGGCCAUUCUUGAAGAAAGUUGCUAGUGUCCUUCCUGAUCUUCAGGAGCUGACCUCAAUGAAACCUUUCCUUAAUGUCAUGCAUGCUUGAGCCACACAAAAAAG